AAUGAACGCUGGCGGCGUGCGUAACACAUGCAAGUCGAACGAGAAAUUCCGGGCUUGCUCGGGAGAGUAAAGUGGCGAACGGGUGAGUAACGCGUGGGUAACCUGCCCUUGAAUCUGGAAUAACAUCGCGAAAGCGACGCUAAUACCGGAUAUUGUCCCAGGGACUGUGGUCCUUGGGAUGAAAGAUGACCUCUUCACGAAAGUUGUCGUUCAGGGAGGGGCCCGCGUACCAUUAGCUAGUUGGUAGGGUAAUGGCCUACCAAGGCGAAGAUGGUUAGCUGGUCUGAGAGGAUGACCAGCCACACUGGCACUGAAACACGGGCCAGACUCCUACGGGAGGCAGCAGUGAGGAAUUUUGCGCAAUAGGGGAAACCCUGACGCAGCAACGCCGCGUGAGUGAAGAAGGCCCUCGGGUCGUAAAGCUCUGUCAAGUGGGAAAAAAGCUUGAUGGUGAAUAGCCAGCAAGACUGAUGGUACCAUUGAAGGAAGCACCGGCUAACUCCGUGCCAGCCGCCGCGGUAAUAC
rnacentral:rRNA from 1 species